AUUGAACGCUGGCGGCAGGCCUAACACAUGCAAGUCGAACGAGUGGCGGACGGGUGAGUAAUGUCUGGGAAACUGCCUGAUGGAGGGGGAUAACUACUGGAAACGGUAGCUAAUACCGCAUACCAUCGGAUGUGCCCAGAUGGGAUUAGCUAGUAGGUGGGGUAACGGCUCACCUAGGCGACGAUCCCUAGCUGGUCUGAGAGGAUGACCAGCCACACUGGAACUGAGACACGGCCCGGACUCCUACGGGAGGCAGCAGUGGGGAAUAUUGCGCAAUGGGGGCAACCCUGACGCAGCCAUGCCGCGGGAAUGAAGAAGGCCUUCGGGUUGUAAAGUACUUUCAGCGGCGAGGCGUUACCCGCAGAAGAAGCACCGGCUAACUCCGUGCCAGCAGCCGCGGUAAUUC
rnacentral:rRNA from 1 species